ensembl:lncRNA
AAUGACCCCUGGUCAUGUGACAGCUCUGCAUCUUCCUCUGACAGUGAAGAUGAUGAAAAAGACAAGAAAAAGAAGAAAAAGCUGAAGAAGAAAAGAAGCAAGGUACUUAGAUUACGAAACAAGACAGGGCCCAGUAGCGAACUCUGCAGCAUCCCACUCAUUCCACCUGCUUAAUUAGAGCUUAAUGAGCACAUGAAUUAACCUUUUACUGCAUAUUAAUUUCAGAGCAGGAACUGUGUAGAUAUAGACAACUUGCUUUUGUUCCUGUUUUGUAUAUCACUUCGAAAUAAAGCAAAAAUGUAACUGAUAUUUGAAAUAGAUAAGGAAUGUUUUAUUGCAUGCUAGAGUUUAUUAAUCCCAGAAUAAUACAUGCACUUGAGUGCAAAACAGAGAAGAAAAUCAUGGUUAUUAGACCAUUUUCUGAGGUUUUCAGAAUGCAUGAUUGCACAAGUUUUUUUUUUUUUUUCAACAUUCAAAGAGAAGAAUUCCCUUCUUUCACAAUUAAGGGAAAGAGCUGGAGGGUAGAACAAACACGCACACCCACAGAAAAGUACGACAACUGUCAAAAACAAGUUCUUGCAGGUGUCAAUAACUCUGUCACUUCCUCACACAGAAGUCCAGCUCAUCUUCCUCAUCAUCAUCAUCAUCAUCAUCUUCCUCUUCAUCCUCAGACAGUGACAGCAGUGAGGAUGAAAAGAAGAAAAAGAAGAAAAUGAAAAUCAGCGAGACUGCAGAGCCGGGCAUUCUCACAGAAACAGGUCUGGAGGGAAACACUGAAUUAACUCCUGCAGGAGAAACUAAAGGAGAC